GUGCUCGCUUCAGCAGCAUAUAUACUAAAAUUGGAGUGAUACAGAGAAGAUUAGCAUGGCCCCUGGGCAAGGAUGACACCCAAAUUUGUGAAGUGUUCCAUAUUUUU
ensembl:snRNA U6 U6 spliceosomal RNA